rnacentral:rRNA from 1 species
UACGUAGGGCGCAAGCGUUGUCCGGAAUUAUUGGGCGUAAAGAGCUCGUAGGCGGCUUGUCACGUCUGCUGUGAAAUCCCGGGGCUCAACCCCGGGCGUGCAGUGGAUACGGGCUGGCUAGAGGCAGGCAGGGGAGAACGGAAUUCCCGGUGUAGCGGUGAAAUGCGCAGAUAUCAGGAGGAACACCAGUGGCGAAGGCGACUCUUUGGCCUGUAACUGACGCUGAGGCGCGAAAGCGUGGGGAGCAAACAGG